UACGUAGGGUGCGAGCGUUGUCCGGAAUUAUUGGGCGUAAAGAGCUCGUAGGCGGUGUGUCGCGUCGGCCGUGAAAACCUGGGGCUCAACUCUGGGCGUGCGGUCGAUACGGGCAUCACUGGAGUUCGGCAGGGGAGACUGGAAUUCCUGGUGUAGCGGUGAAAUGCGCAGAUAUCAGGAGGAACACCGGUGGCGAAGGCGGGUCUCUGGGACGUGACUGACGCUGAGACGCGAAAGCGUGGGGAGCAAACAGG
rnacentral:rRNA from 1 species